UCUCCGUUCCAAUAGAGAGACUUGAAAAGCAAAGCCGAUAGAAACAAUAGGUUGAAUUGAAGACGAUCUCCGCGCUGCAGCAGAAGAGAAAUGUCUGGAAGAGACCGAUAUCACCGAGAGGUUCAAGACCCUUCUUACCAUGAUCGACGUCGUUUUACUCCCGAGAGACCAUUCCUUCGCGCCCCUCCACCUCCAUCACUCUUAGAAGAUCUUCAGAUACAAGAAGCUGAAAUCCGGAGGCUUUUGUCUGAUAACCACAGACUAGCUGACGACCGAGUGCUUCUGGAGAGAGAGCUCGGUGCAGCUAAGGAAGAGCUUCACCGUCUGAACCUGAUGGUCUCUGAUCUCCGUGCCGAACAGGAUCUGCAGGCGAGGGAGUUCAGUGAGAAAAGGCAUAAACUUGAGGGGGAUAUUCGUGCUAUGGAGUCUUACAAGAAGGAGGCUUCUCAGUUGCGCGGAGAAGCUCAGAAGCUGAGUGAGAUAAAGCGUGAAUUAAGUGGAGACGUUCAGAUACUUAGGAAGGAUUUGGUGAAGUUGCAGUCGGAUAACAAGCAGAUUCCGCGUUUGAGAGCUGAGGUUGAGGACCUGCAGAAGGAGCUUAUGCACGCUAGAGGUGCUAUUGACUACGAGAAGAAGGAAAAGUUUGAGCUUAUUGAACAGCGGCAGAUAAUGGAAAAGAACAUGGUUUCUAUGGCGCGUGAAGUUGAAAAGCUACGGGCAGAACUUGCUACUGUUGAUAGUAGGCCGUGGGGUUUUGGUGGAUCAUAUGGGAUGAAUCUCGGCACUAUGGAUGGCGCUUACCGUGGUUCUUAUGGAGAAACCGAUGGUUUUCUGGGAUCUUCGGAAAGGAGUCAAUAUUACAGCCAUGGGUCUGGCUCGCAGAAGAAACCUCGCUUGGAUCGUCACUGAAUCUUAUCAACCAUCCUGGGAAAAGAGAAUGAGGAAACAAAGCUUGAAAAGGACAGACUUCGAGGCCAAUCAUCAUCUACUAGUUGGAAUCGAAAAAGGAACCAAAACGGUCAUAAUAGAAACCAAACCGUAGGCAACAUCUUGGAUCUUUUCCCUCGCACCAACGUCUUGGUAUCAGGAAAAACUCCGUCGCCGAUUUUCUCAACCGCACCAUCUGUCGUCACACUAAUGGGGUACACAACCAAGUGUACACCGUUCAUGUCCACUACCUUCUCACCGCUGUAAAUAUCCCACAUUUGUUCCCCAAUUGUCAGCAACCCUCGGACGCAUUCAAGACUCUCUGGC